rnacentral:rRNA from 1 species
GACGAAGGAUCCAAGCGUUAUCCGGAUUCAUUGGGUUUAAAGGGAGCGUAGGCGGGUUUAUAAGUCAGUGGUGAAAGCCUAUCGCUUAACGAUAGAACGGCCAUUGAUACUGUUAGACUUGAAUUAGUGGGAAGUAACUAGAAUAUGUAGUGUAGCGGUGAAAUGCUUAGAUAUUACAUGGAAUACCAAUUGCGAAGGCAGGUUACUAUCACUAUAUUGACGCUGAUGGACGAAAGCGUGGGGAGCGAACAGGAUUAGAAACCCCAGUAGU